rnacentral:rRNA from 1 species
AUUGAACGCUGGCGGCAGGCCUAACACAUGCAAGUCGAGCGGCAGCGGAAAGUAGCUUGCUACUUUGCCGGCGAGCGGCGGACGGGUGAGUAAUGUCUGGGAAACUGCCUGAUGGAGGGGGAUAACUACUGGAAACGGUAGCUAAUACCGCAUAAUGUCGCAAGACCAAAGAGGGGGACCUUCGGGCCUCUUGCCAUCAGAUGUGCCCAGAUGGGAUUAGCUAGUAGGUGGGGUAACGGCUCACCUAGGCGACGAUCCCUAGCUGGUCUGAGAGGAUGACCAGCCACACUGGAACUGAGACACGGUCCAGACUCCUACGGGAGGCAGCAGUGGGGAAUAUUGCACAAUGGGCGCAAGCCUGAUGCAGCCAUGCCGCGUGUAUGAAGAAGGCCUUCGGGUUGUAAAGUACUUUCAGCGGGGAGGAAGGUGUUGUGGUUAAUAACCACAGCAAUUGACGUUACCCGCAGAAGAAGCACCGGCUAACUCCGUGCCAGCAGCCGCAGUAA